UACGGGGGGGGCAAGCGUUGUUCGGAAUUACUGGGCGUAAAGGGCUCGUAGGCGGCCUGAUAAGUCGGCUGUGAAAGUCAAGGGCUCAACCCUUGAAUGCCGGCCGAUACUGUCAGGCUAGAGUCCGGAAGAGGCGAGUGGAAUUCCUGGUGUAGCGGUGAAAUGCGCAGAUAUCAGGAGGAACACCUAUGGCGAAGGCAGCUCGCUGGGACGGUACUGACGCUGAGACGCGAAAGCGUGGGGAGCGAACAGG
rnacentral:rRNA from 1 species